rnacentral:rRNA from 1 species
UAGGGAAUCUUCCGCAAUGGACGAAAGUCUGACGGAGCAAUGCCGCGUGAGUGAAGAAGGUUUUCGGAUCGUAAAACUCUGUUGUUAGAGAAGAACAAGGAUGAGAGUAACUGCUCAUCCCCUGACGGUAUCUAACCAGAAAGCCACGGCUAACUACGUGCCAGCAGCCGCGGUAAUACGUAGGGGGCAAGCGUUGUCCGGAUUUAUUGGGCGUAAAGCGAGCGCAGGCGGGUCUUUAAGCAUGAGGGG